AGUGUUUUAGGUUUAGGGCGGCACUUGUACUGACUGUUUCGACGUGAGUAUGGUGGAUUUUGUCUACCUGGUGCGAAUUUUACCGUAUCAUGUCCGAGAUGAACAACAUGUUCACCAAACAGUAUAGGGAAAUUAUAAAGAGAAGCGCCGCACCGCAACUCUCUCAUGCAACGGCUCGCGCAUCCCCACGCGCAUGCAAAAAUCUUUCAUCUCAUGCUUUUUAA
rnacentral:lncRNA from 1 species